GCCUCCUUGGUGUAGUGGUUAAUCUUGUGGGCUGGGAUGUGCAACGCAACUCAAUCGUCUUGAGUUCGAAACUCAUAGCGGCCG